UCCUCCUGGGUCGGGUCGCCGAGGCCCCAGACCGGCUGCGUCUGGAACUGCUUGUCGAGCGCGAGGCCCGUGUUCGCCUCGCGGUCGAGGUG
rnacentral:tRNA from 1 species